GAUAAGUAGGAUAUAGAAUAUUUUUGUGCUAUUCCUGUUCUUUUCUUUCAGUUUUUGUAAAGCAAAAGUUGAAGGUUCACAUUAAAAGAAACUAAGAUCUUCUUUAAUGUUACCAUUGCUUAGAUAACAAACAAAUCAGUUUUAUGGGAACUGUUCUGUUACCUUGACGUAAUUAUUUCGUUUUUCUGGCACUUUUGCUAGGAAGUAAGCUUUACUGUUUACCUUUGACCCAGAAGGAAGAAAAGAGUCUCAAGGUCUGGCCAAUUAAUUCUAAUCACCCCUAACUCACACAGUAAGGCAGCCUUGACUGGAAUCAGCCGGUUCCACCCACUCUGCUCUUAAACCUUUUUCACAGAGCAGCUACACUCUCCAAAGAUAAACAGUCUCCCUAGGCCAUUUGCUUUUCCUGUCUUGUAUAUUGCUUACUUCACUGACUUUACUCAGCAUGAUUGGUGAUUCAAAUAUUAUAUGUAUAAUUUUCUUAACCCAAAUUUUAAUUAAAGGCAUCAUCUGAUCAUGAAAUAAACAUGGAGAUUUUACACAUUCCCAAACAUCAAGUUUGCCAUGAACCCCUGUGGUACAGAAGUGUCGACUGAUGGUGUGUGAGCUAACCAGGUGAGAAUUCUGCAGAGUCUCGUGGCUGUCUCUCAGAAAAUGAAUUCUUAUUCUACACAUCUAAAUACUCAGAAAAUGGAAGAGAGAACACUGACUUCAUAGUAGAUUAAAAAAGAAAAAAAAAGGAGUUUUUUUUUAUUUGUUUGUUUCAUUUUAUUUCUGGAAUAAACCACCUCUACAAUUAGCUCCCUUUUAAGACUUUGAUGCGGUGCCUCUCAAUCUCUCUAAUGCCUUUAUCCUUGAAUACAGUUCCCCACGUUGUGGUGACCCUUAACCAUAAACUUAGUUUUCUUGCUACUUCAUAAUUGCAAUUGUGCUGUAAAUUAUAAUGUAAAUACCUGAUAUACAGGAUGUCUGAUAUGUGACCACUGUGAAAGGGUCUUUCAACGCCCCCAAAAGAAUUGUGACCCGCUAAGUUGAAAACCAAUGCCUUCAUGCAACAAUAACAAGAAACCUUAGAUAAUUGAUGGUCCUGCACUCAGUUGAUGUUUAAGGCAAACAUGCUUAAGGCAAAACAAAAUAAAUAUGGGGUUUAUUUUUCUGAAAGAAAAAAAGAACGUCUCAUUAAAUGUCAUGUCUCACAUACAUAAUAAUCAAAGCUUGUUGAGUACUCAUAUUUGCUUACUUUGCUCGGAGUCCUUCCUCUAAAAUCCUGAUGGCUCAGGAUGUUGAUCAGUAGCAGAUCAGUUGCUUAGCUCCAGGAAGCCCUGAGUUUCUUCCUUAGUAAGGGACUGAGUUCAGAUCCCUAAGACCAACGUAAAGCUGGAUCUGGUAGCAGUUGUUUGGGAAGCCCGGACUGUCAAAACAAGCUGGGAGGGAGAAACAAAAGAAUCCCUGGAGAACUGUGGCUAACUAGCCUGGCUUAGAAUCUGAGGCAAACAGCAUGAGAUCCUAUCUCACCGAACUUGGAGGGCAAGAACUGACACUGAAAGUCGUCAUGGGAAUGCCAAACACACAUUCACAAACAAAUAAUCAUACAUACGUGGAUCUUACACACACACACACACACACACACAGAGAGAGAGAGAGAGAGAGAGAGAGAGAGAGAGAGAGAGAGAGAGAGAGUAAUCAAGACUGAAUAAGCAGAUAAAUCAUCAUGUGAAAGUUUCAAAUGUGGUUGCUAAUGCAGCUCUCUUCUGGACAAGGAACUGAGUUUUUCAUUGUUCUUCCAUCUGCUUUUUAGUAAUUCAUAAGCUUAGACAAAGUGUCAGUAAGAGAACAAUGAAGUCUCUAAGUCAGAACACUCAUUACAUCUUCAUUGUGCUUUUACCUUUGGAAAUGUUAGCUUUGUUACAUUGAAACUAUUUCUGAGUUAUUUCCAGCAUUACAUGCUUCUAUGUCAGAUCCCUUGCCUUGCACAACCUGAAAUUCUGAAAAUUCUUAUCAUGUCUCUUGUUCAUGAUACAUGUCAAAAUAGGAUUAAUAACAAAAUGAACACAGAUCUGCCUUCACAGUGAAGAACAGGCCACUUGACAAAAAUCUUAGUAAAAGCUUUCACUUACAACCAUAUACAUUUUCCAAUGAUGUCAGAACCACGCUAAGAUGGAAAGCUAUUUUAAUUUGUUGUCUAUUCUAAUUAUUAUUAUUUCUGGGCUUUGUCUUACCCUUUCCUCCAAAUGAUUCCCCUAGCAAGUAAAUGGAAGGCAAAACCAUUCAUUGAAAGCCAAUUGACUCAGUCCUGUAAAGUGUCCUGAAAUGUAUAGACACAAUGGUUUGGUGGAUGCUUUGAAUAUAAAACACAUUUGUUUUCCACACUUAGAGAUGGUCUUAGAAACAUGUCAUCAAUUCCGCAUCAUAACUAUUUAAUAACCACUAUUCAUGACCAUAAAUAAGCUAGGGAUAGGAGGGCAGGCAGAAGAAUGGGAGUCAGUGUCCUCCUCCAAACAAGUUGCCUAUUAAUGGAGAUAAAAAUUCAUGAUUGCUGAGUUGUGUUAUGGAAUAGAAAUUAACAACAGAUGUAUGAAUAAGAAGUGAUGGUUACUUAGCAGGUAGAUGUAUGUGUGCUGCAGCAGUAGAAUGGGGGAAAUUUCUGGAACUAUCUAAAAUCCUUACAAGAACUGUCACUGAAGUGGUGCUGUAAGAAGGACGUCACCAACUUGGGAUCUAGUGAGAAUGCAUGCCUGAAGGAUCACAAUACUUUCUUGACCUUGGUUUAGUUUUGAUUUGCUCCAUGUAAAUUGUUCUACCUUGUUUUCCUGUGAUUGAUUCUUAACCAAUGUAUUAAGAUGGUAAAAAUUAGCACAUCAGAAAGAUAGUCUUUCUCAAAAAACACCCCAUCCCCACCCUAGUUUCACCACAGGCACAAGCAAAAUGGAAGCCUCUGCUUCCAAAUGAUAAAAUUGUUACUUCAUACACAAAGACCCUGGUCAAACUCUGAAUGGCUCAUUGUCUCUGUUCAGCCAAUGAGCAGCAGUGAAGAGUCCUUCAGUCUUGGGCUUUCUGCUGCCCACCCAUCUCUGCUUCUGCUUUUCUUUAGUAAGUUGGGCGUGUUUUCAUAGAAAAUAGGCAUACUUCAUUGGGAGUUUACCCCAAAGUCUUUACAGAUGUUCUACUUGUGAAUAUGUACAGUUGCUGAAUCAUAAUACCUUUCGAAGAGGAUUAUAAUGAUGUGUCAGACUGACCAAUAAUAUCAAAGAAAAUCUGAAAGUAGCUAGAUUUGGGGUUACUCACAGGCCUUCACCUCACACAUCUAACCUUUCAAUACAGAGCAAUAGCAUACACUUCCUAAUCAUCAACUAAUCAGAACAUGUCCAAACUCACUGUGUGGCAAGUCCUUUCAUUUGUGGUGAUGGCCAGAGGCCACAAAAGGCCAGGCCUUUGUAGAAUAGUUAUGCAUAUUGAAAGAUCUCAAAUAAAGAAGAAAAGGCCCCUUGUCAUCCCAGACAUUUGGAUUUUUACCAAAUACAUAAAUGAAAGGGAGCACUUCUGCAACUGUCUCGUAUAGGAAAGAAUUUCCAGACUGGUGGUUGUGUGGCCUUGCCAUUCUCAGCAGCACGUGAGCUAAUGAAUUGCUGUGGUAACUAGUAUGGCUCAAGCCCACCUGUCUGUAGAAUUUCCUUGUAUUCCAAACAUGAAAACAAGAAAUAAAGCCUGAUCAAUCAAAUCUUCGUUAUUUUAAGAUGGCAAAGAAAAGAUAAAUCAGCUCAGCUGCUAUCUGUUUUCCCCCAGCAAACUGAAUUUAGCAACCUGGACAGGGGAAGAGUUGAGACUGUUGGCAUGCCGGCAGGCUUGUGGAACUUCUGUUGUUAGAAUGGUUGGAGAGCAUUUGUGCAUCAGUGGACUGUGUACCCUCUGAGGGACUGGGCCUAGAGCUUCUUCAACUGUCCUCUUUCACAUUAGUAUAUAUAACACACUCAUAAAUAUUCUACUUGCUGUGCCUCCUAACAUGUGCUUAACCACUGAUGUAUUCUUGUGCUCAGUAUCAGGAAAAUACCUUCAUGUUGUUUCUCAGAGUAGCUCUAAGGAGUACAGGAACUAAGCAGAAUUUGUACCCUGGCUUUCAAAACCAGGAACCCAAUUUGUGAUACUGAGGACAAAGAAGAUAAGAACUUUGAUUUUUAUUGUUCAUUAGAAACUAGAUGAAAUGAAACAAAAUGUCUCCAGCAAACCAGGCAAAACUGUUACUGAGUCCUUUACUUUCUCUGAAUUAAAAGAAAAAGAGCUCAAAACACUAUUAACUUUAAAUAAAAGCCUGUUGUAUUUUGAUUACUAACUGCCAUGUUAUUCGUCUAGAAUGUAAAGCUGUAGUAGUGGGCUUGUGUUUAAGAGAUAUUGGACCCGAUGUUCCAAGGAUAACCACAAAUUACUACUUAUGAACUUUCAUGAAAUAUACUGACAUUUCAAUGACAUCCAAAAGGGAAACCCUAUUACGGUUGAGAUAUCUGGUAAGAAAGUUCUGUUCUGUGGCCUCUCUACGUAGAAAGUUGAAAGCAGUAUCAUCAGCACUUGGAUUUGCAGCAAACAAGCCAAAAACAUAGAAAAUUAUAGAAAUCAAAGUAAAAUUGUAAUUGAAUUUGUAACAAUGUCUAUGGAGCAAAUGUCUUCACAGUUAGCAACCAGCCCCCCCAGUAAGAAUUACAAGGAAGAUCAGUUGUGUUUUUAAUGGAGGAAUAUUCUUAGCUAAUAUAAGUAAAAAUGUACUAGACAAAAAAGUCUCAAUGAAGAAGUAAGAUGUUUCAUAUGUUUAAUGUAACAAGUUCAUGGCUCAUCACAACAUCUUUAAUAUCUGUUCUUUGAAAAUAUUGACUUGAUCUAGUUAUUGUAUCCAAAAGUAGUCUAAAAAUGCAUUGAAAACAAAGAUAUGCUACCAUGCCUCAUGAAAUCAUAAUAUUCUGUAUCAACUGUAGUUGUGAAGAAUGAUCCUCUGUGAACCCUGGCACAAUCCCUGGAGUCAGAGCAGAGAUAUGAAUCGAUGUAUGGAAAGCUUUUGAAUCAGAGAAGUUGAUCCCAAGUUCUUUGGUUCCUCCCUCUAUACCUGUAUGUCCAUGAACACCUCAGUCAUUUCUACCAGGACCUUGCUAUCCUGUCAUGUAAAACAGUAAUGAUGGGGGCAAUCUCUUUUCCAGAUGGGUAGGAACUCUUCGGAAUAGUCAGCAGAAAACAGUCAGAAGAUACAACAGCCACUGUCCCAGAUGGGAGUUCAGAAACUGCCCUGGCAGAGACAGGGCUGAGAGGGUACACAUUUCUGCCUGACUUAGCCUGCCCAGAGCUGCUGAGAACCCCUAGUCAGAUUCCAUGGGCCUUCAGCAGUCAGGUGAUGUUUUCAGGUCUCCCGGGAAAGAGCCUUUGCUUCCAUCUCCAGUGGAUGGAGGUUGACUUGUUUUUGAGAAAGGCAUACAAGGUAGUGGUAAUGUUGUGACUUUGUGAUGUUUAUGCUUUUGGAGCAGGCACAGCUCCUUCUCCAGUGCAUCUCCCAGAUUCCACAUGAACAUCCCUGCAGAGCUGACAUCUUUCCAUUUCCAGAAGCUUUGUGUGUUUCUUGUUUUCCUUGGGAACUUCCCAGCGGAAGCAUUAUUCUGAUCUUGUUUCUCCCAAGAUGGCCUAUGCCACAUGCGUGUUUGCAUACUCUUUCCAGGCGACAUGUGCUAUGAUUGAACUUGACAGGUCAGGUAGAGUCACAUAUUUUAUCCAUUGUGUUGAUUUUUCCUAAACUACUUUCUUUAAGAGGUUCAAGUAAUUCAUGGAGCAAAGCAAUGAAUUUGCACCUCACAUCAUCAAUCAAGCAAAAUCAUAUUGUGGCUUCAGGAGGGUGUCUGGCAUUGUUCCUUGGGUUGGCAGUCGCAGUGCUCUUCACUUUGGCUCUGGAUUGGCUACCUCAGAGUCGAAAGUGCCCCAACAGUGGGCCUGGGAAUUUUGCAUACUUAUUGAGUAAUUCUCAUGCACAAAGGCAUCAGACAGUUGUUUUUAAUCUUUGCUAACACACCAAAUCCAAUUAGUGCUGCCCAUAUCUGUAAAGGUAACCACUAGAGUAUGGAGAAUUUACCAGUCACCACACAUUCAAAAUGAAUCAUUCUUCCUCCCCCAGCAACUAGCAAUGCCAGUGGCUCUUCAGUAAGGGACAGGGGCCGGGAGUUAGGAGUAGGGAAGCAUGAAGCAAACUCCCACGAAUGUAUAACUUUCUUUGUGUUUUAAAGAAUGAUAAUGUUCAUAUUUUGUUGAUGGCCAAGAAACCUAUCAGGUAUUGAUUCAGCGGAUUGGGCUGCAGCUUCAAUCAUUUAGGAUACUGUGUUAAGAUGACAUUGUCACUGAGUAAGAACAUGUUCCAUAUUCUGCACACGGCACCUUAAAAUCAGCUCUACUGUGGAGACUGAACAGAUUUGACACUUAUGUGUGCAAAUGGGUAAUUUGUAUGCACGUUUUUGACAGAGGUCUAAGUAUCUGCCUCAUUGUUUUGACAAUAUUAGCAAAUAUUAGGAAGCACUGACUUCAGCUGCAGUUAUUUGCAUGCAAUUUGAAUGUCAACCCACUGUGGUUCUUUGCAGGAAAUUCAUAUCCUCUGACCAUUUGUGCUACACUUGCAAUGUCAACAAAAGUAUGAUAACUGGUGAAUUAGAAUGUUUCCAUUUUCUUCAGAUCAUAUAAUGUUGGAUUAUUCGGGAAGCAUUUGUGCAUAUUCAGGACAUGUUUCAUGCUCCUCCUCUAGUGAAAGAGAUGAAAACUUCAUUUUUACACUAAAUGUCAAAUUGCACUUUAUAAGAGAUCUUCCUGUGGUGGAGUUUCAGGGAGAAACCCUGUCCCUGAUCAGGUGAUUUCUUACCACAGGAGGCUGACCAAUGUCACAUAUAUGGCAUACAUUAUACAUGUGGUAUAUAAUGUUGAAGUUUAUAGGAUCUUGUCAAAAGCCAGGACUCUUUGAAGAAAUGUUUACCCUCACAUUACCUUUUUAUCCAAGUUUUUUACCAUUUUCUUAACUGUGUUUAGAUUCUACAUUAAAACAUGGCUAAUAUUAAACAUAAGUUGACUUUUAUACAUGCAGGAAAAUUGUUGAUUGUUCCUUAGAGAAGUCUAGUGGCACAUGUAAGGGACAAUAGUCUUCCUGCCAGUCUGUGCAAAUCUCUGCUGCAAACUCCAUGUGGAAGUUUGUAACUAAAAUAAUAUUUCAUUCUUAGAAGCGCUGAGCCCUGUGUUUCCACACGAUGUUACUUAAACCUUAUAGCUCCAUAAUGUGUUUCAUGAAAAAGAUAGUUGUGUGUCUUAACACAAAAUUGUUUUUAUGUGAUAUUGGGCCUGGACACUCAGAGAAAUGUUGUAGUUUAUCAGAAUGGAUCAAUAUCCUGCUUUUAUAUACUAGAUUAGAUCUUGUGCUAGAAUUCUCAAUGUUCUUUUCCACUAGUACUCAAAACCAACACAUCUUCAAUGUCUCCCAGUAGGUAUGUUUAAAGAUAGUUCUGUGAAUCUCUCUUUGGUAAAGGAAUAAAAAGGAAAGCCUUAAUUACAAAAGAAGAUACUGAAGAUCUGAGAUGAAGAUAGAUAGAGAACUACAGGGAGUGAGCAGGAUCCAUGAUGCUCAGAGAGGGGACCACAGAUGGGAUGGCAGAGCUCUUGCUCAUCGAGCAAGGCUUACUUACAAAGCUUCGGGUUACUUAAUUAUACCUUUUUCCAGAAGACACUGGAGCACAUAUCUGCAACAGAAUUUUAAUUAUAUACAAAGUUUUAAAAAGUGGAACAUUCCACUCUGGGGAGCCCACACAACACUGAAAUGACUGUAACUGUUUUAUUAUAUUAGUUGCCACAGAAUUUGGCUGUGGUUGCUCACUCAAGGUUUGUGUAUACAUGUUCUAUUUCUUUGGGCAAACAUUUUCUGUUCUUUUUACAUUUUGCCUAUCUAUAAAUUUAUACCAACAGGCCUUUAAGAAAAUAAAUACCAAAUCUAGACACUUUAUAUAAUUUAUUGCCUGUAUGGAAUCCAAGAAAUUUUAAUAGCAAUAAAAAGUAGGCUACACAUUACAGUGUAUGUACAGUUUGUAUAUAUAAACCUAAAUGCAAAAAAAUUUUAAGUUCCAGCCUAUGUGCUAAAUUUUGACUUAACAUAGUAGUCACAGGAACUAAGAUAAAGUAUCAUGUCAUUUAUUUCUUGUAAGUUUUAAGGUCAGCUUGUUCCUUUCUUAUCACUGUGGUUGGACCACAUGUUUUGGAAACAGACAUAAGAAAAUUGGAAGCAUAAGAUCUGUCCCUUGUGGGUGGAACAAAAAAUAUAGGGUAUGGUAAUGUGACACUUCUAAAUAAUAAUCAUGAAAGCAUUAUUCUAGAAACAGUUCUGAAUUCCCAGGAAGACUGCAUAAAUUAAUGCAAUAGCCUUUUGAAGGGAAUUUAGUCAACUACUAAUUUUAAACAAUGUCCUGAGGGAACCCAUUAAGUUAAAAAUUUAAAGCACACAAAAAAAUAGGUGAUCAACUGAAUCCACACUACAGAACAGAAACUCACACUUGAUUUUGUGGACUAUUCUAAUGAAGCAAGAUGAAUGUAUUUAGUAUAUUUUAGCCUGCAUACAUUCUAUAUUAUAUUAAAACUUUAGAACAUAAUUAAAAUCUUCUGUUAUAUCCUACUUU
rnacentral:sRNA from 1 species